GGGCUAAGAGCUCAAACGAGUCACAAUAGGGAGGCUAGUGACCCCCAUCCAUUCCCAUGGCAUCGUUUGAAGGGCUCUGGAGCCAGCCGCCUGGGUUCGAAUCCUGACUGUCCCCCUCACCAGGCUCUGGGGAGGAAAGGGAGCCCAUGGCAGACCAGACCCCUGGCCGGCCAGGGUCCCCGGGGUCUGCGAGGAGGACGUUCAUGGGCGAGUGUGUGGUGGUGGGUGAACUGCGGCAGAACCCGAGAUUAACAGCUGGAACCCUCUCCUCUUGCAGAUGAGGAAACCAGGGAAAUCAAGGGUGUUUGAGUGACUGACCGAAAGUCACACAGCUAGGAAGUAA
rnacentral:lncRNA from 1 species